GGUUGUGGCUCAGUGGUAGAGCGCUCACCUCGCACAUGCGGGACCCUGGGUUUGAUCCUCAGUACCA
rnacentral:tRNA from 1 species